AUUGAACGCUGGCGGCAUGCCUUACACAUGCAAGUCGAACGGUAACAGGUCUUCGGAUGCUGACGAGUGGCGAACGGGUGAGUAAUACAUCGGAACGUGCCUAGUAGUGGGGGAUAACUACUCGAAAGAGUGGCUAAUACCGCAUGAGAUCUACGGAUGAAAGCAGGGGAUCGCAAGACCUUGUGCUACUAGAGCGGCCGAUGGCAGAUUAGGUAGUUGGUGGGAUAAAAGCUUACCAAGCCGACGAUCUGUAGCAGGUCUGAGAGGACGAUCAGCAACACUGGGACUGAGACACGGCCCAGACUCCUACGGGAGGCAGCAGUGGGGAAUUUUGGACAAUGGGGGCAAGCCUGAUCCAGCAAUGCCGCGUGCAGGAUGAAGGCCUUCGGGUUGUAAACUGCUUUUGUACGGAACGAAAAGCCCUGGGUUAAUACCCUGGGGUCAUGACGGUACCGUAAGAAUAAGCACCGGCUAACUACGUGCCAGCAGCCGCCGUAAUAC
rnacentral:rRNA from 1 species